rnacentral:rRNA from 1 species
UAGGGGGCAAGCGUUAUCCGGAUUUACUGGGUGUAAAGGGAGCGUAGACGGUGUGGCAAGUCUGAAGUGAAAGCCCGCGGCUUAACUGCGGGACUGCUUUGGAAACUGCCAUGCUAGAGUGCUGGAGAGGUAAGUGGAAUUCCUAGUGUAGCGGUGAAAUGCGUAGAUAUUAGGAGGAACACCAGUGGCGAAGGCGGCUUACUGGACAGUAACUGACGUUGAGGCUCGAAAGCGUGGGGAGCAAA